GAUGAACGCUGGCGGGGGGACGAAUACAUGCAAGUCGAGCGAACAGACGAGGAGCUUGCUCCUCUGACGUUAGCGGCGGACGGGUGAGUAACACGUGGAUAACCUACCUAUAAGACUGGGAUAACUUCGGGAAACCGGAGCUAAUACCGGAUAAUAUAUUGAACCGCAUGGUUCAAUAGUGAAAGACGGUUUUGCUGUCACUUAUAGAUGGAUCCGCGCCGCAUUAGCUAGUUGGUAAGGUAACGGCUUACCAAGGCAACGAUGCGUAGCCGACCUGAGAGGGUGAUCGGCCACACUGGAACUGAGACACGGUCCAGACUCCUACGGGAGGCAGCGGUAGGGAAUCUUCCGCAAUGGGCGAAAGCCUGACGGAGCAACGCCGCGUGAGUGAUGAAGGUCUUCGGAUCGUAAAACUCUGUUAUUAGGGAAGAACAAAUGUGUAAGUAACUAUGCACGUCUUGACGGUACCUAAUCAGAAAGCCACGGCUAACUACGUG
rnacentral:rRNA from 1 species